rnacentral:piRNA from 1 species
UAGUUGGAUGCAAUUUGUGGUUGCAGCCGGC